CCACAGAAAGAAUAAAAAUUUGAUUUAGUAAUUCUCAUACGCUCUUGAACACCUAUGAAAAUCAUUAGAUCUACCGCAUGCUUCUUAGUAUUCAGAUUUCCCAUUGGGCACGGACGAGACACGAGUAUAGUUCUUUGAUGGCAGAGAUAUAAUUGCUGAAUUCGGACAGAAAUCAUCCAAAUUCAAGCAUCAAAACAUCUCAGUUUCUCAACCAAUUGCCA
rnacentral:lncRNA from 1 species